rnacentral:lncRNA from 1 species
CUUGCUCGCUGCUGCUGCCACGUAAGAAGUGUGUUGCUUCCCCUUCGUCUUCCACCAUGAAUAACAGAAUGGCAAUUUUCGUGUGGUGUUAAUUUCCGUGGAAGAAGAAAAGGCUCGACUCUCUGUCCUAUUUUUCAUGAAUACUGGAAGUAGGGAAUAAACCUGGAGUCUCACGGGUGAAAAGAGACAUUUCCAUAUCACCAGACCACAAACGUGGAUGGAGUUUCACUCUUAUGGCCCAGGCUGGAGUGCAAUGGCGUGAUCUCAGCUCACCACAACCUCUGCCUCCCGGGUUCAAGUGGUUCUCCUACCUCAGCCUCCUGAGUAGCUGCGAUUACAGAUACAUAGCUCUGGCCAAGAAGUGUGGUUUUGAAGAGCCCAAACUGUAUCUGUUACCUGAUUUCAAAGAAUAUUCCACCUAGGAGAGACCCAGGUCCUGCAGACUUCCUCUGGACACUUUUGGCAGUCAUUGUUCCCAGCUGAUUCUGCAACAGAUGAAGGACGGAGGAUAGAAUCAUGAAUAGCAACAUCUUAAUUGCUGACUGGGUGUUGAUUCUAAGGAUACCCCCAAUAAACAUCUUUCGUGCUAAAGCCCAUUCCAGAAUUUACUUCCCAGCUAUCUUUGAUGUUCAUAUUGUCAGAGGUGGUGGCCGCUGAAACAGGCAAAGACAUGGAGCAUAUCUUGGGUCCAGGACCUUGGGAGUCCAGAGGAAGGUCUUUUUACCAUCAGCAUUCUCUACUGUGUUCAAUGACUGUCAGCCAAAGAUGGCCAGGUUCUCUACUGUGAUGGUGAAUUUUAUGUGUCAAUUUGACUGGACCAUGGGAUGCCCAGCUUUCCUUCAGAAAGAAAUGCAUUCAAAGAACCUACAUUCACAACAUAAAGAAAUAAAGCCUGCACCUACAGAUCUACACACAUGCCCAUGCACAUGCAGGAAGUGUUCAUCUAAGACUGGACCUUUUAGAAGAAAGCUGGCAUACAUUCGUGAAGGCAUGGGCUUCCAGGCAUGUCAUCUUCACUCACGAAGCACACACAAGACCGCCAAGCAUUAAGAUUCUCCUGUGGAGCCAGGCUACAAUCCUUUAAAUGAAGACAGACAGCUAGGUGGCUGCAGCCCAGCGCUACACCUCACCCCUCCCUCAGUGUCAUGCAGAAAAAAUGUAUUCAGAACUCAGAAGUGAAGUUGUGCAAAUCCAUCAUUGACACUAGCUUCAAGGUUACCUCGGGGGAGCAGAAUGUACCCCUGCCAGAGAGCUGGAUAGAUGAUGAUGGGGACAGAAAUUCUGGGGGAGUUGUAAAUGGCAGCCACUGCCUCUAUAGGAAACCCAAAGGGAACACAGCAGAAGAGGAGGUGGUGGAGGAGCCACUGCCCUCUCGAAGGGUUCAAUGUCAUUCUGCAGACACAACCAAAUAACUUUUUCUUCCCUGCUGCUCCUCCAUUUGAAAUGACAGCCCCGAGCUCGCUUUUUCCUUGAUUGUGUAACUCUGAUUACAGACAAGGCCAAGGCAAUCCCAGGGCAUUACUACAAAGCUAAGGGGUCCCCAAAGAACUAAAGAGUCAGCUCCACAAAAAUCCCGAUUCCUAGCAUGAAACUGAAAUAUGAAACCAAACGGGCAUAGAAAAGGUAUGUGCAUUCGAAUCACAUAGCAGUGACUGGAGUCCUGAGCUGUGUCUGAAGACUGUGAGAUCACGUUUGGAGCUGCUGAUUGGUUUUCAGUGAUGGCCCUGUUGCACAGUGCCGUGAGACUUAGCUCCAUGGCCAAAGACGAUGGUAUCCCCUAGGAGCCCUGUGAGGUUGCUGCUGUUCUCUUAAGACACCAGGUAGCCAUCUGAUCCUCCCUGAGCAAACUAACUGGGCAGACAGGUUUAUUAAACCUCUGUUGGUCCGACUUACAUGAAACAAGAGAGUUAUUUUGUUGUUGUUGUUUUGUUUUGUUUUAAAUUAAACCUGUCUUUGGAGCCUCCUG